ensembl:lncRNA
AAGAAUGCUGAACUUACUGCAGAAGAACACACCAAAGUGACUGAUCUUUGCCUGUCCUGGGAUCUUCCAUUUCCAAACUCCACCAAUCGUGUCUGGCUGUUCCAGGAAUUGCUUUCACAUGCAGUAAUUAUUUUUAUAAAUUACUUUCUUAGUAUUUAUAUUGGAGGUUGGCCGUGUAACUCAUGUUACAUCUGUGCCUACGGUCUCUUUCCUAUAAAAUAGUGUAAAUGUUACCUUCUGUCCUGUCAAUUCUGUCUGCAGGUACUUCACCGUGUUAAACAGCCAAUUAAACAAAUACGGAAAGGCCUUAAACAAACAGGAAUCUGGCCACUUCUUUCAGAUAGGCCAGAUGUCCACCCCUUAAUUUUCCCAAGGGAGUCAACUGAGGAGCUUAACCCACAGACCGUGAUCCAGAGCAUUACCUGGCCACAACCCAACGUUGACAGCGACGAGGAUGAGGACGACACUGUUCCAUUGGAGAAAAUCAGUCUUGUCACUGGAUUUUUGAGAAAAUUCAUAGAGGAAGGUAAUACUGUAAAUGGUUUUUAUUUCCUUAUUUUUCAUUCUCAUCUUAAUUUACACAUAAUUGUUUCCUCAUAACAAUCCCAGUUGCUACAAUAAUAAAGUGGUUCUUCAUAUUUACCA